UGCAGCCUGGGACCUUGCUAAGGUCUGUGGGCUUUAAAUGAGACAGUAGAGAUGAAGUGCUUAGAGCUGUGCCCCGUGCAUGGCCAGUGUGCAAUGAGAUGGUCUCAGAGUAUUAUGGCUGGAGUCACCACUUGUAUUACCAGGAAGCCCAGCCUCUGUGAUUACAGGAUUCCAACUAUGGUGACUCUGCACCUCUUCCUUUUUCUCUUGCUUUCUCAUUCGUCUUAUUACCAUUUGCUGAAAUUAAAUCAGAACACACAGGGGAAGCACCUAUCCUUGCCCAGCACAUAGUAGGCAUCGUGCAGGAGUCUGUGAGUCACAUGGUUUACUCUUGCCCUCCUCCCCAUGGUUCCUAGCACGGUGUUGAAUGUGUAGCAGGCCCUCCCUAAUGGACCCAGGAGAUCAGCCUGGGCACUCUCUCAUUCUCCUCCUGCCUCCCACCCUUGAUUCCCUCAUAAGACAGCAGCACAAGUGACUUCUAGGGGAACCGUAUUAGUCUGUUGCUAAGACCAGAUAAUUUAUAAAGAAACGAGGUUUCAUUGACUCACAGUUCUGCAGGCUGUACAGGAAGCAUGGCUGGGGAGGCCUCAGGAAACUUACAGUAGUGGCAGAAGGCAAAGGAGGAGCAGGCGUCCUCACAUGGCUGGAGCAGGAGGAAGGGAGAGAGCGGGGAGGCGCCAUCACUUUUAAACAAACAGGUCUCGUGAGAACUCACUCACUGUACAGUCCCAAGGGGGAAUGUGCCAAACCAUUCAUGAGAACUCCGCCCCUCUGAUCCAGUCACCUCCCACCAGGUCCCACCUCCAACACUGGGGACUAUAGUUCGACAUAAGAUUUGGGUGGGGUGGCAGAUCCCAACCAUAUCAGAAAGGGUCUUUAUGAUCAGUGGAGAGUGGCAGGGAGGUGUGGACCAUGGGGAGACACAGUCCUCCUGGACCUUGGAGUGAGAGGAUUCAGUUUUAGCAAAAACAGGAGAUAAGACUGUCUGGAAUUGUCCUUCUGUGUGAAUGACCCGCUCAAGGUCUCAAGGCAACUGCAUGGCCCACCCGCUCCACUCAUGGCCCUCUCACCCCCAUUCGGCACCCCAGCCUUCUCCUUGUGGGGUCACCCCGCCCCACAGUCCGACCCGGGCUGGAGUGAAAUCUCGGCUGACUGAUGCGCCUUCACGGAAGAUGGCAUGGAGGGGAUCCACUGUCCCCCUCAGGCCUCUUCUCCAAGACAAAGGACAGUCAUGUACACUGGCUCACAGACCACAGAGAUGCUGGUAGUUGGUGUGCAAGAGCAUUUAUCAUGUUGGAGAAUGACAAAGAGGGAGCAGGUGUCUGACCUGGGAUGAGAGAACACGGAGCGGUGAAGGCACACCAGGGGUGGAGAGGGCAGAGACAGGCUGUCAUUUUUCAGCACAAUUUUCCUCCCUUUAAUGUUCCCAUAGAUUAUGGGACCGGAUCAUCUGAUGGCCGAAAGAGAUGUUUUAUGGUGCCAGGGUGGAAGGUUUGAGGAGAGGGAAAAAUGAUUGUGAACUUUCUGUCCUACAAAGGCUCUCAUGGUCUAUAGAAUACAAAGUUGAUUUUGCUUUGCUUUUCUUGGAAAUGUGCUAGAGAGGAGAAAGGUAAAUAGGAUUUACCAGCCUCCUCCUGCAUGCAAAGCAAAUGGAAAGAACCCUCCCCCCUUGAACCUCCGUUUUGCUUGGAAGAAGCGGGAUGUGUCUUCUUGUUCCCCUUCAAGGGAGAUUUAAGAGGUCCUCUCCUGGAACAGCACAGAGUUUAAUGCUAAAUACUUUUCAAAAUCUUUUGGUCAUCUACAGUUUUCUCUCCUCGGCUCUGCGGUCAGGAGGGUUUGAGGAAAGAGGUGGAAAGUUCUCUCUCCGAGGGACCCUGUCCCCAGGCCUCAUGUGUUCCAGGGCCCCGUUUGCAGUUCUUGGCUGUAUGAGUGAAAAUCUUUAUUGAAGAACCAGAUUUCUUUUUUGCAAGGAGAAAAAAGAAAAGAAACCAAUAUCCAAUUCAAGUAGGGGCCAACAAGCAAAUGAAAACAUGCUCAAAUUGAUUAGUUUUCAGGGACAUUCAAUUUAAAACCACAUGAGAUAGCAUUUCAUGCCCAUUAGGACGGCUGGAGUCAAGACGGAUGACAGCAAGUGUUGGUGAGUGUGUGGGGGGUUCAGAACCCUCGUGCCUUGCCUGUAGGAAUGUGAAAUGGGGCAGCCUCUUCGAAAAAUGGUUUUGUAGUUCUUCAAAAAGUUAAACAUGAAAGGCCAGGCAUAGUGGGGUGGCUCACACUUGUAAUUCCGGUACUUUGGGAGGCUGAGGUGGGAGGGUCACUUGAGCCCAGGAGUUUGAGAGCAGCCUGGGCAAUGUGGUAAAACUCCAUCUAUACAAAAAAUACAAAAACUAGCUGGGCAUGGUGGUGUGCACCUGUAGUC
rnacentral:lncRNA from 10 species